rnacentral:rRNA from 1 species
GACGAACGCUGGCGGCGUGCUUAACACAUGCAAGUCGAACGAUGAAGCGGUACUUGUACCGUGGAUUAGUGGCGAACGGGUGAGUAGUACGUGAGUAACCUGCCCCCUACUUUGGGAUAAGCCUUGGAAACGGGGUCUAAUACUGGAUAUUCCUGGUCUGCCGCAUGGUGGGUUGGGGAGAGUUUUUUCGGUGGGGGAUGGGCUCGCGGCCUAUCGGCUUGUUGGUGGGGUGAUGGCCUACCAAGGCGUCGACGGGUAGCCGGCCUGAGAGGGUGACCGGCCACACGGGGACUGAGACACGGCCCAGACUCCUACGGGAGGCAGCAGUGGGGGAUAUUGCACAAUGGGCGCAAGCCUGAUGCAGCGACGCCGCGUGAGGGAUGACGGCUUUCGGGUUGUAAACCUCUUUCGCUACCGAACAAGGCUCCAUAUUGGUGGGGUUGAGGGUAGGUGGAUAAGAAGCGCCGGCUAACUACGUGCCAGCCGCCGCCGUAACAC